GCCUGAUGGAAGUGCUAAAAUCAAUGUUUAUCACCUGUUUAAGAGCAGAUGAGGGAAGGAGGAGCCAUCUGUCAGAAGGUUUGCAGCUUCUGAGAGAGCCUGGAAGCAGUUUCUGAUGGAUAUCUUCAUCCUGAGAAGCAGAGAGGAAAAUCCAGAAUCUCUGCUGUGUUCAACACAGUGACGCAUGGCUUCGUCUGUGAGGGUAUCAGCUGUGUCAGUGUUGGGAAUAGUACCAAAAUCCAGGCAGUAAAAUCUCUGAGGGACAUGCAGGCUUUGGUGCUAGCAUGGUUUCCACCUUCAGCUGCAGCCACGACUUGGUGA